rnacentral:rRNA from 1 species
ACUCCUACGGGAGGCAGCAGUGGGGAAUUCUUAGACAAUGGGGGAAACCCUGAUCUAGCCAUGCCGCGUGAGUGAUGAAGGUCUUAGGAUUCGUAAAGCUCUUUCGCCAGGGAUGAUAAUGACAGUACCUGGUAAAGAAAACCCCGGCUAACUCCGUGCCAGCAGCCGCGGUAAUACGGAGGGGAUUAGCGUUGUUCGGAAUUACUGGGCGUAAAGCGCGCGUA